AAAGAAGGUGUGUUGGCGCCUGCGCAGAACCAGCUAGGGCAGCAAAAUUUCACGGCCAGUGCAUGUGAACGCGCCGAGGUAGGUUAGAUUUAUGGCCCACCGCGCAUGCGCCGGGAGCCUCAGCAGCGUUACAGGGAAGGCAAAAAUUAUGGGCCAGUGCGCACGCGCGGCGGACAGGGAGAUCUCUCAUCCCGAAAAUGUUCUAUAAAAUCUCCCUACCUCUCACAGCGCACGCGCGGGGUCUGAUCAUCUGGAGCAUCCUGACUGUUCUAUCAGUGUCCCAACUCUGACCAGCAUGUUCUCCUAUGGAACACGAAGUACCUAAGGUGGAAUGAAGAAGCCCAUGUUGAGGCCCGCGCCCCCGGCUGGAGCAGUGAAGGGGCAUCUGACAGGUCAACUUCAGCUCCUGGAGCGUUAAUCUGCCAGGAGCCAACGGAAGUGCUCUUCUCAAGUGCAUGUCAAGAGUAGGAAAAAAUACUUAAGAUAAAGUUGUUCCUGUUUGGUCUUAAUUUGUGGGCGUUGUAAGAUUGUAGAUUGUAAUAUGCUUUCUGGUUACAUUUUGGUGAGUUUUAACUUCAUUUUUGAUUUUUACAGAUCCAGAGGGAAGGAGCAAACCGCCUUGAGGAGUCCCUACAUAAUAGACUAUUGGAUACAGAAGGGCUGUACUAAAGGAAGAUCUCAUCACAGCAUCAUCCAAGCCCUAGUCAGGAGUAUAUGAGGCCUCUUAAGAGUAAAGAGCGGCUAACAAUAUCUG